CCUAUCAAGAAAGAUUAACAAUCAUCAACAUUACUUUUUAUGAUUGUACACAUGGAAAUAGUUGCCAAUAAAUUUCAACGAAUAGAAUGACAACUUCAACUGAUAUCAGACCAAUUCUGUACUUUCUGUACUUAAAUUUUACUUACUCUGAGUUGAAGUGUUGCCUACUUAAAUGGUUUUUUUCUCAGCUGGGAUUUUUUGAGCACCAGCAGGUCUGAUAAGCAAAAGCAAUUUUUUAAAAACUUAGUUGUGGCAGGGUAAUGUAUGAGAUUGAGUUCAGUGCUUCUCAAACUGUAAUGAUCACCUGGGUAACAUACAGGUCACAAUAUACAUGUCAGCUCAGAGGUGGGUGUGAGGACUGAGAUUCUGCACCUGCUACUGGACACAAGCCCACUGAGAGUGACCAUGCUCUAGAAGACCAGGCUGUCUUAAAGAACUGGGAUUUGAUUUAGACUCCAAGGACAAACCAGGAUUAAUGAACCAGAGUUAUAAGCCCUGGAUUCCAGUUCUGUAUAAAGGUCAGAUUAUCUGAUUACCUAAUGAUCAGUGCUGUGUAAAAAUAAGACGAUGUGGCUGCUCUAUGAAAAAUGAAAUUGCCCAGCUGCUGGAGUGCUGUCAGAGGCUGAUGGCCACCCUGCCAAGGCACCACAGAGAGAACUCCAAGACUAGGAAGGAGGUAUUCUAUAAUGUCAGUAACAUUAUCCUUAUCUUACCCACAAGAACACUGAAGAUCCAAAGUAAUUUAAGAAUACAAUCCAUCAAGUACCGGAAGUCAUCUCUUAUUUGUGGACUGAGUAUGGGGACCAUAAACCAAACCUCUCAGCUGAAAGCCCACUCUGGACAAGAUCAUCUAGAAACUCAGUGGAGUUUCUCCAGAUCCACCUACCUGCCCAUCAGCUCUGCCCCUUACCACAACACAACUCCCUGAACAGAACAAGCCUGCCUCUGACAACUGACAAUAACACUGACAGGAAGAUGUUGUUUACCUGGAGGACUCAAGGGUCUCUUCUGAACUUUUUUUUUAACUCCAAAACAUACUGAAAUGUCCUCCCACCCCAACCCCGAGUCAUGGAAUAUUUGUUUUGAACCUCAGAGUUUGAAAGAGAAUGUGGAAGUCAUCUACCCAGUGCUUUCAUUUUAGAGAUGAGGAAUCUACGUGAAAUUAUUUGCUUUGGGCAAAGAAAUUGCGGAGUCACUCAGGCCUUAUGAUUCCAACUCAAGUAACCUUUCUAUGACUCUUGAGAAUGACAUUUCCAGGGUGACUGCCAGCAUGUAGGCACAGUCUGGGCUAAGUCACCAUACCUGGAAACACACCACAAGGGGGCAGAGCUACUCUAAUCCAGGUGCCUGUGUGAAUGGAACUAGGACCAGUGGUGAGAAAGUAGCAGCAUUUUUGCUCCUUAUAUCAUCCAGCUGUUUUAGAGUUUUACUCUAUUACCUUUUAAGUUAAAAGAAACUUUCAGUGGCAUACUGCAGGGCCCUGCCCUUUGACAUCUGAGCACUGGUGAGAAUCACUGUCUCCACUCAGAUAAAAUACCUUCACACUCCAAUUACAGAGCACUCAGGCUCCUCCAGAAAAUCCUCUCUCUUGCUGGAUGUUGCCAGUUGAUAAGUGUUCUCUGUCACAAUGUGCCAAACUACUUUUCCACAGCUAAUUGAAAUUUGCAAAGUAGAGGCACACUCUGGGUGAAAAUGAUCCAGGUGUAGGUAGCAAAAAUUUAGCACCAUAAACCCUUCCUUAUCUUUGAUCCAAGGUAGUAGUGAUAUGUUUUACAAUACUAUUCAAGAAUAGCUGGUUCUCAUACCAAAAACUGGGUGACAGAUUAAGAUCCACAGGACACUAAGAUUCAAAGGAGGGCCGGAGAUUUAGCUCAGUGGCGCCACUGCCCACCUCGCAAGUACAAGGUCCUGAGUUUGAUCCCCAGUACCAAAAAAAAAAAAGGAAUGAUUUUAGUAUUCAGUACAGUUCAGCUGCACUAACCAAGCUCCUCAACAAGGCUGUCCCUACUCAAAGGUCUAAACCUCAGCACCAGCAUUGGAGAUUUACACAGAUGAAAAGCCAAGUCCUGACUCUCAAGAAGUUAGCACACAUUAAAAACAAAAAGACAUUACAGGUUGAAAAAUUUUAAGCAUCAAAUGGAAGAGUAAAUCAAAAGCAGCUGCAGGAACUCAGGAACAAUCCCCAGGGAAGGACCUCCCCUUAGUUAGGACUAAGGGCUACAGCUGGGACUUAGAAAAAUCAACACACAGAAAAAAGCUGAGCGUCUUAGAUUCCUGAGUGUCUUAGAUUCCUGACACAAGAUCACAAAAAGUUGGUGGUUUAGAACAAAAGUUUAUUCUCUAGCAGUUCUGGAGGCCAGAAAUCCAAACUUGAGAUGUCAACAGGGCUAUACUUCUUCUGGAGUCUCAAUGGCAGAUCUGUUCCUUGACUCUUUCAGUUCGUGGAAGCCACUGGCACAUCACGAUGUUCCCUAGCUUCCAACUGCAUCCGUCCAGAUAAUCUCUGCUUCCAUUUUCACCUCACCUUCUCACUUGUAUACAUUUUCUCCUGUGUAUUUCUUACAAAGACAUUUGUUGGUGAAUGUAGGGUCUACCUGGAUAAUCUAAGGUGCUCUUCUUAUCCUACAUUAAUUACAUCUGAAAAAGACCUUUUUGCAAAUAAGGUAAUCUUCACAGGUUCUGGGGAUCAGGAAGUGGACAUACCUUUUGGGGGGCUACCAUUCAGCCAACUGGACAGAGAAAGAGAGACCGUGAGCCUAAAGAUGUGCUAGGUCUCAUGAGGCUAUGAGGCUUAAGAUGUCCCAGGUAAUUCACCUGGGCUGUGUACAGAUGCAGAGGUAAACAGGUACACCUGGUGUCAGAGCCAGGGUGUAGGCCUUAGAGGGAUGUUGAAUUAUUCUAGGAGUCCUCUGUUUUGCUCUG
rnacentral:lncRNA from 1 species